UGAGUGACCUGCCGAUUUGUGGGGGAUAGCCGGGCCAACGCCCGGGUAAUACCGCAUACGCUCUUCUUGGGGCAUCUCUAGAAGAGGAAACCUCCGGGGCAAAUCGAGGGACUCGCGGCCUAUCAGCUAGUUGGCGAGGUAACGGCUCACCAAGGCUACGACGGGUAGCUGGUCUGAGAGGAUGGCCAGCCACAUUGGGACUGAGACACGGCCCAGACCUCCGUACGGGAGCAGC
rnacentral:rRNA from 1 species